UAUCUCUUCCGUAGAUGACUUUUCUUUGUGAUAUGUACCGUUCUAGAUCAGGAACAUUGUUCAUUUAACUAUUUGUUUAGCUUGCUUGUCAUGAAAAUGAAAAGACUUAUGUUAAAAGGAAGCUAAGGUUUUGAUACAGUGCUUUAUUUGUUCAUAACCUUUAGACGACAAACCUCUUGGUGGUAAACCUUGAGAGUUGUAGCUGUGCAAUUGUCCAAAGUUGGGCAGCUCUUCACAAAGGCACAACUUUCUGCCUAGUCAAGGAGAAGACAGAAUAAAGUCCCGGAAAUUCCACAUUCUGAGAAAUUGUCUACAUGGUCAUGUGCAGGUAUUACAACUCAGCAUCGUAGCCUAUUUGUUGCAACCUCCAAUGCAGUUUCUAUUAUGAAUUUUCCAUGGCUUUUCGCAACAAUCACUACUCCAUUUCCUAUUAAAGUGCCAGAUGUAGCUCGGUGGCAACAUAUGCAAUUUUCUUUAUUAGUUUGGAUCUGCAAAUCAUGCCAUAAUUAGGUAAGAGAAUGGUUGUUGCUUGCUGUUCAUUCAGCUGAUUGAAUGGAGGACCUCUGGGACUCACGUGUGCCUAAGAUGGCAUGAUGGUUGUCAUUGUUGUGGCUCUGCAUCUUUGUAUGUUAAAAUGGCCCAUCAGAUAAGCCGGUGCAGCUUCUGCAGGAGAUAUCCAAUGACGAGGAGUUAGAGAUUCACAACCUGAAUACAAAAUUUCUACCAUAUAGCUGUAGCAGUUUCUGUGAGCAGGCUGGUGAAGGGGGCUUUGCUUCAAUUAGAGAGAGCUAAAAUUUUCACGAAAUAUUCUGACUGUCAAAUUAUCUCCAACCAAUAUUUCUUAGUAGCUUCUGUCCCGAAAUGCCCAUGAAAAGGGUGCUUUGUACUGUAGGACAAUGGGAGAGAAUAAUCCACCAAAAUAGUGAUGCUUCAGAUUUGUUCCUUGCAA